rnacentral:rRNA from 1 species
AUUGAACGCUGGCGGCAGGCCGAACACAUGCAAGUCGAACGAGUGGCGGACGGGUGAGUAAUGUCUGGGAAACUGACUGAUGGAGGAGGAUAACUACUGGAAACGGUAGCUAAUACCGCAUACCAUCGGAUGUGCCCAGAUGAGAUUAGCUAGUAGGUGGGGUAACGGCUCACCUAGGCGACGAUCCCUAGCUGUUCUGAGAGGCUGACCAGCCAGACUGGAACUGAGCCACGGUCCAGACUCCUACGGGAGGCAGCAUUGGGUAAUAUGGCACAAUGGGCGCAAGCCUGAUUCUGCCAUGCCGCGUGUAUGAAGAAGGCCUUCGGGUUUUAAAGUACUUUCAGCGGGGAGGCGUUACUAGCAGAAGAAGCACCGGCUAACUCCGUGCCAGCAGCCGCGGUAAUUC